rnacentral:rRNA from 1 species
GAUGAACGCUAGCGGCAGGCCUAAUACAUGCAAGUCGAACGGUAAAUAGAGUAGCAAUACUUUAUGAGAGUGACGUAGGGGUGCGUAACAAGUAUGCAAUCUGCCCUCAACAGGAGAAUAGCUCCCCGAAAGGGGAAUUAAUACUCCGUAAGAUUGUAGUGUGGCAUCACACAGCAAUUAAAACUCCGGUGGUUGAGGAUGAGCAUGCUUCUGAUUAGCUAGUUGGUGGUGUAACGGACCACCAAGGCGAUGAUCAGUAGGGGAACUGAGAGGUUGAUCCCCCACACUGGCACUGAGAUACGGGCCAGACUCCUACGGGAGGCAGCAGUAGGGAAUAUUGGACAAUGGGUGCAAGCCUGAUCCAGCCAUGCCGCGUGCAGGAAGAAGGCCUUCUGGGUUGUAAACUGCUUUUGCCAGGGGAUAAAAAGCCCAUGCGUGGGAAAUUGAAGGUACCUGGUGAAUAAGCCACGGCUAACUACGUGCCAGCCGCCGCGGUAAAAC